rnacentral:tRNA from 2 species
GCCUGGGUGGCGAAAUUGGUAGACGCAAGGGACUUAAAAUCCCUCGGUGGCAACACCGUGCCGGUUCGAUUCCGGCUCCAGGCACCA